ACAUGGCCCGUACCCCAAACCAACACAGGUGGUCAGGUAGAGAAUACUAAGGCGUACGAGUGAACUAUGGUUAAGGAACUCGGCAAAAUACCUCCGUAACUUCGGGAGAAGGAGGACCCCUUACUGUCAUGGCCCACGCGGCCGGCAGCGGUGGGGGGUGGCACAAACCAGUGAGAAGCGACUGUUUACUAAAAACACAGGUCCGUGCGAAGUCGCAAGACGAUGUAUACGGACUGACGCCUGCCCGGUGCUGGAAGGUUAAGAGGACCUGUUAACCCUUCGGGGUGAAGCGGAGAAUUUAAGCCCCAGUAAACGGCGGUGGUAACUAUAACCAUCCUAAGGUAGCGAAAUUCCUUGUCGGGUAAGUUCCGACCUGCACGAAUGGCGUAACGACUUCUCAACUGUCUCAACCAUAGACUCGGCGAAAUUGCACUACGAGUAAAGAUGCUCGUUACGCGCGGCAGGACGAAAAGACCCCGGGACCUUCACUACAGCUUGGUAUUGGAGUUCGGUGCGGUUUGUGUAGGAUAGGUGGGAGACUGUGAAAUUCACACGCCAGUGUGGGUGGAGUCGUUGUUGAAAUACCACUCUGAUCGUAUUGGGUUUCUAACCUCGGACCGUAUAUCCGGUCCAGGGACAGUGCCUGGUGGGUAGUUUAACUGGGGCGGUUGCCUCCUAAAAAGUAACGGAGGCGCCCAAAGGUUCCCUCAACCUGGACGGCAAUCAGGUGUUGAGUGUAAGUGCACAAGGGAGCUUGACUGCGAGACGUACAUGUCAAGCAGGGACGAAAGUCGGGACUAGUGAUCCGGCACCCCCGAGUGGAAGGGGUGUCGCUCAACGGAUAAAAGGUACCCCGGGGAUAACAGGCUGAUCUUCCCCAAGAGUCCAUAUCGACGGGAUGGUUUGGCACCUCGAUGUCGGCUCGUCGCAUCCUGGGGCUGGAGCAGGUCCCAAGCGUUGGGCUGUUCGCCCAUUAAAGCGGCACGCGAGCUGGGUUUAGAACGUCGUGAGACAGUUCGGUCUCUAUCCGCCGCGCGCGCCAGAAACUUGAGGAAACCUGUCCCUAGUACGAGAGGACCGGGACGGACGAACCUCUGGUAUACCAGUUGUUCCACCAGGAGCACCGCUGGAUGGCUACGUUCGGACAGGAUAACCGCUGAAAGCAUCUAAGCGGGAAACCUCUUCCAAGACCAGGUUUCUCACCCUCUAGGAGGGAUAAGGCCCCCCGCAGACCACGGGAUCGAUAGACCAGACCUGUAAACCCAGCAAUGGGCGUAGGGAACUGGCACUAACCGGCCGAAAACUUACAAAA
rnacentral:rRNA from 1 species